rnacentral:rRNA from 1 species
AUUGAACGCUGGCGGCAGGCCUAACACAUGCAAGUCGAGCGGAUGAGGGGAGCUUGCUCCCUGAUUUAGCGGCGGACGGGUGAGUAAUGCCUAGGAAUCUGCCUGGUAGUGGGGGAUAACGUUCCGAAAGGAACGCUAAUACCGCAUACGUCCUACGGGAGAAAGCAGGGGACCUUCGGGCCUUGCGCUAUCAGAUGAGCCUAGGUCGGAUUAGCUAGUUGGUGAGGUAAUGGCUCACCAAGGCGACGAUCCGUAACUGGUCUGAGAGGAUGAUCUGUCACACUGGAACUGAGACACGGUCCAGACUCCUACGGGAGGCAGCAGUGGGGAAUAUUGGACAAUGGGCGAAAGCCUGAUCCAGCCAUGCCGCGUGUGUGAAGAAGGUCUUCGGAUUGUAAAGCACUUUAAGUUGGGAGGAAGGGCUGCUGGUUAAUACCCUGCAGUUUUGACGUUACCAACAGAAUAAGCACCGGCUAACUUCGUG